GUGGUGCAGUGGUGAAAGCACUUGGCUGAUAAUCAAAAGGUUGGUGGUUCAAACCCACCC
rnacentral:tRNA from 1 species